ensembl:lncRNA
UAAAUAUCACCUGUACCUGUUUGAGUUUUUUGUUUGUUUGUUUGUUUGUUUGUUUGUUUGUUUAAAGAUCACCUGUACCUGUUUGAGUUUUUGUUGUUUGUUUGUUUGUUUAAAGAUCACCUGUACCUGUUUGAGUUUUUGUUGUUUGUUUGUUUGUUUAAAGAUCACCUGUACCUGUUUGAGUUUUUUUUUGUUGUUUGUUUGUUUGUUUAAAGAUCACCUGUACCUGUUUGAGUUUUUGUUGUUUGUUUGUUUGUUUAAAGAUCACCUGUACCUGUUUGAGUUUUGUUGUUUGUUUGUUUGUUUAAAGAUCACCUGUACCUGUUUGAGUUUUUGUUGUUUGUUUGUUUGUUUAAAGAUCACCUGUACCUGUUUGAGUGUUUGUUUGUUUUUUUGUUUGUUUGUUUGUUUGUUUGCUUGUUUAAAGAUCACCAGUACCUGUUUGAGUUUUUUUUUUUUUGUUUGUUUGUUUGUUUGUUUGUUUGUUUGUUUGUUUAAAGAUCACCAGUACCCGUUUGAGUUUUUGUUUGUUUGUUUGUUUGUUUGUUUGUUUGUUUGUUUGUUUGUUUAAAGAUCACCAAUACCCGUUUGAGUUUUUUGUUUGUUUGUUUGUUUAAAGAUCACCAGUACCUGUUUUAG